GAUGAACGCUGGCGGCGUGCCUAAUACAUGCAAGUCGAGCGAACAGACGAGGAGCUUGCUCCUCUGACGUUAGCGGCGGACGGGUGAGUAACACGUGGAUAACCUACCUAUAAGACUGGGAUAACUUCGGGAAACCGGAGCUAAUACCGGAUAAUAUAUUGAACCGCAUGGUUCAAUAGUGAAAGACGGUUUUGCUGUCACUUAUAGAUGGAUCCGCGCCGCAUUAGCUAGUUGGUAAGGUAACGGCUUACCAAGGCAACGAUGGGUAGCCGACCUGAGAGGGUGAUCGGCCACACUGGGACUGAGCCACGGCCCAGACUCCUACGGGAGGCAGCAGUGGGGAAUUUUCGGCAAUGGGCGAAAGCCUGAUGCAGCAAUGCCGCGUGUGUGAAGAAGGCCUUCGGGUUGUAAAGCUCUUUUGUCCGGAAAGAAAAAACUCUGGUUAAUCCCUGCGGUUGUUGACGGUACCGGAAGAAAAAGCACCGGCUAACUACGUG
rnacentral:rRNA from 1 species